CCCUUAGAUGUUCGGGGCCGCACGCGCGCUACACUGAAGGAAUCAGCACGUCUUUCUCCUUGUCCGAAAGGACUGGGUAACCCGCUGAACCUCCUUCGUGCUAGGGAUUGGGGCUUGUAAUUCUUCCCCAUGAACGAGGAAUUCCCAGUAAGCGCGAGUCAUAAGCUCGCGUUGAUUACGUCCCUGCCCUUUGUGCACACCGCCCGUCGCUACUACCGAUUGGAUGGUUUAGUGAGAUCCUCGGAUUGGUCCCGGCGCGGCCUCUGGUCGUGCCGGAGUGCCGAAAAGAAUGUCGAACUUGAUCAUCUAGAGGAAGUAAAAGUCGUAACA
rnacentral:rRNA from 1 species